AUCGAUUAUGAAGGCAAAUCAUCCUACCCAAAGGGGAGGAAAGUCUCUUUGAAAGCAUUUCUCCUAGCCUGCUCAGAGAAGAUGCUCAUUUUCCAGUAGGCCAAGACCUAAAGGUGGUUCUGGAAUUAUUCGAUAUUCGGUGGCAGGUAAAAAAUGCCACCCAUAUCAUCAAAUACUGUGAUAGACCGAUGACACCAAUGGCUCCAAUCUGUUAUCCCUCUCUGGAUCCUCAGGCAGCUUUACCUAUCAAAAGGUAGAAUAUCUAUCCCCACUCUUUGACUCUCAGUUUCCAACUUGCUUUGACCAGUGGGCAGGUUCGACAGAAGCCAAAGCUUAAAAGGAAGCAUUCUAGUGUUUCUACUUUUGCUCAUCUGUGAUUGCUGCGUGAACAUGCCCAAGCUAUCCCACUGGAGGAUGAGAAACACAUGGCCCAGUGACCCUGCCCCACUCAACAGCCAAUCAACUGCCAGACUCAUUUGAAGCCAGAAGAACCUCCCAGCUGAGUCCAUCCUAAUUCAGUCAACCCUGGCGACUAUCAGGCAUACUAAUGGGCCCAACCAAGACCAGAAGAACUUCCUAGACAGGCCAACCUAAACUGCCCUCCUGAGACCAUGGCCUUAGUAAAUACUCAUUGCUUUCA